UUGAUCCCUGGCUCAGGAUGAACGCUGGCGGCGUGCUUAACACAUGCAAGUCGAACGAUGAUCCCAGCUUGCUGGGGGAUUAGUGGCGAACGGGUGAGUAACACGUGAGUAACCUGCCCUUAACUCUGGGAUAAGCCUGGGAAACUGGGUCUAAUACCGGAUAUGACUCCUCAUCGCAUGGUGGGGGGUGGAAAGCUUUAUUGUGGUUUUGGAUGGACUCGCGGCCUAUCAGCUUGUUGGUGAGGUAAUGGCUCACCAAGGCGACGACGGGUAGCCGGCCUGAGAGGGUGACCGGCCACACUGGGACUGAGACACGGCCCAGACUCCUACGGGAGGCAGCAGUGGGGAAUAUUGCACAAUGGGCGAAAGCCUGAUGCAGCGACGCCGCGUGAGGGAUGACGGCCUUCGGGUUGUAAACCUCUUUCAGUAGGGAAGAAGCGAAAGUGACGGUACCUGCAGAAGAAGCGCCGGCUAA
rnacentral:rRNA from 1 species